rnacentral:tRNA from 1 species
GCCAUAGCUCAGUGGUAGAGCACUUGCCUAGCAUGUGAACAGCCCUGGGUUCCAUCCCCAGUACUGCA